rnacentral:rRNA from 1 species
AGGGAAAGAGGGGGGCAGGCCUAACACAUGCAAGUCGAGCGGAUGAAGGGAGCUUGCUCCUGGAUUCAGCGGCGGACGGGUGAGUAAUGCCUAGGAAUCUGCCUGGUAGUGGGGGAUAACGUCCGGAAACGGGCGCUAAUACCGCAUACGUCCUGAGGGAGAAAGUGGGGGAUCUUCGGACCUCACGCUAUCAGAUGAGCCUAGGUCGGAUUAGCUAGUUGGUGGGGUAAAGGCCUACCAAGGCGACGAUCCGUAACUGGUCUGAGAGGAUGAUCAGUCACACUGGAACUGAGACACGGUCCAGACUCCUACGGGAGGCAGCAGUGGGGAAUAUUGGACAAUGGGCGAAAGCCUGAUCCAGCCAUGCCGCGUGUGUGAAGAAGGUCUUCGGAUUGUAAAGCACUUUAAGUUGGGAGGAAGGGCAGUAAGUUAAUACCUUGCUGUUUUGACGUUACCAACAGAAUAAGCACCGGCUAACUUCGUG